CACAUCUCCUGCUCCCGCUUCUGCAGAGCAGAGCUGUUGAUCCAUUUAGGUGCAGGGAGCAAGAUGCCCGGGGCCCAUGAAAAUCUCCUCAUUUCUUUUAAAAUUGGAAGGCAAAUAUGCACUUCAAGGUCAAAGUAAAGGUUUUAACAUAUUAAUAUAUUCAUCUUUAUACCAAUGUAGUCCCCAAGUAUAAUUUUUAUUUUAUUUUGUUUUCAAGACAGAAUCUUGCUCUGUUGCCCAGGCUGGAGUGGAGUGCAGUGGCACAAUCAGGGCACACUGCAGCCUCAACUCCUGGGCUCAUGUGAUCCUCCUACCUCAGCCUCCUUAGUAGCUGGGACUACUGCACUUUCUCAUGGCCCUGGGGACCUCACGGUGGUGCCACUCAUCCUGACCAAGGACCUGCGCCUGCAGCAUGACCCCCGACACAGAUACCUCAUCAGCACCGUUUUCUUUGUCUCUGGCAUCUGCACGCUCCUGCAAGUGUUUUUAGGGGUCAGGUAGGUAAAACAGUUCCCCGUGGGUUCUGACUUUUACCUGCCAGGGUGCCAGCAAGGCUUGCUUGACUUGUAGCUGGAGAGAUGGUUGGGAAGCUGGUGUGGCGUAAGGGAGGGCACACAGGGCUAGGAGACAGAGCGUGGG
rnacentral:lncRNA from 1 species